ACGGGAGGCAGCAGUGAGGAAUAUUGGUCAAUGGGCGGAAGCCUGAACCAGCCAAGUCGCGUGAAGGAUGAAGGUAUUAUGUAUUGUAAACUUCUUUAGCAGCAGAGUAAUAAGGCCCUCGUGAGGGCUGAUGCAAGUAUGCUGAAAAUAAGGAUCGGCUAACUCCGUGCCAGCAGCCGCGGUAAUACGGAGGAUCCGAGCGUUAUCCGGAUUUAUUGGGUUUAAAGGGAGCGCAGGCGGAGAUGUAAGCCAGCCGUCAAAUCGUGGUGCUCAACGCCAUCCAGCGGUUGGAACUGCAUCCCUUGAGUGCACUAGAGGAAGGUGGAAUUCGUGGUGUAGCGGUGAAAUGCAUAGAUAUCACGAAGAACUCCGAUUGCGAAGGCAGCCUUCUGGGGUGUUACUGACGCUCAUGCUCGAAGGUGCGGGUAUCAAACAGGAUUAGAUACCCUGGUA
rnacentral:rRNA from 1 species